rnacentral:rRNA from 1 species
GAUGAACGCUGGCGGCAUGCCUAAGACAUGCAAGUCGAACGAGAUGGCCCACAGAUUCAGAAGGAAGAUAGAGUGCUUGCACGAAGUUAGAAUUUUGAUGACGUGGAAAUUCCAUCUAGUGGCAAACGGGUGAAUAACACGUGGGUAACCUACCUCUAAGUUGGGGAUAACAGUUGGAAACGACUGAUAAUACCGAAUAAGCUCUACGGAGUAAAGAAGCUAUUAAGCUUCGCUAAGAGAUGGGCCUGCGGCGUAUUAGCUAGUUGGUGGGGUAAGAGCCUACCAAGGCGACGAUGCGUAGCCGAACUGAGAGGUUGAUCGGCCACACUGGGACUGAGACACGGCCCAGACUCCUACGGGAGACAGCAGUUAGGAAUAUUCGUCAAUGGGGGAAACCCUGAACGAGCAAUGCCGCGUGAAUGAAGAAGGCCCUAUGGGUUGUAAAAUUCUGUUGUAUGGAAAGAAAUGUAAAGUUAGGAAAUGAACUUUACUUGACGGUAC